rnacentral:rRNA from 1 species
GACGAACGCUGGCGGCGUGCCUAAUACAUGCAAGUCGAGCGAAGUUUUUCUGGUGCUUGCACUAGAAAAACUUAGCGGCGAACGGGUGAGUAACACGUAAAGAACCUGCCUCAUAGACUGGGACAACUAUUGGAAACGAUAGCUAAUACCGGAUAACAGUAUUUCUCGCAUGAGAGAUAUUUAAAAGUUGGUUAUGCUAACACUAUGAGAUGGCUUUGCGGUGCAUUAGCUAGUUGGUGGGGUAAAGGCCUACCAAGGCGACGAUGCAUAGCCGACCUGAGAGGGUGAUCGGCCACACUGGGACUGAGACACGGCCCAGACUCCUACGGGAGGCAGCAGUAGGGAAUCUUCCGCAAUGGGCGAAAGCCUGACGGAGCAACGCCGCGUGAGUGAAGAAGGAUUUCGGUUCGUAAAGCUCUGUUGUUAGGGAAGAAUGGAUAUGUAGUAACUAUACAUAUAAGAGACGGUACCUAACCAGAAAGCCACG